rnacentral:rRNA from 1 species
GCCUGGCCCUAAAUCUUGAUGCUCUACCUUACCUGAGUAUCCGCCCGAGAACUACGAGCACAAACGCUUAAAACUCUAAGGACUUGGCGGUGCCCCAAACCCACCUARAGGAGCCUGUUCUGUAAUCGAUGAUCCACGAUAUUACCUGACCAUUUCUUGCCAAAAACAGCCUAUAUACCGCCGUCGCCAGCUCACCUUCCCUGACAGCCCAACAGUGAGCGCAAUAGCCCCAUCACGCUAGUAAGACAGGUCAAGGUAUAGCCUAUGGAAUGGAAGCAAUGGGCUACAUUUUCUAAAUUAGAACAUACGGCAAAGGGACUUGAAACUGUCCCUGGAAGGAGGAUUUAGCAGUAAAGUGGGACAAUCGAGCCCUCUUUAAGCCGGCUCUGGGGCACGU